AUAUACAACUUUCAGCAACGGAUCUCUUGGCUCUCGCAUCGAUGAAGAACGCAGCGAAACGCGAUAAGUAAUGUGAAUUGCAGACACGUGAAUCAUCGAAUCUUUGAACGCACCUUGCGCUCCUUGGUAAUUCCGAGGAGCAUGCCUGUUUGAGUGU
rnacentral:rRNA from 1 species